rnacentral:rRNA from 1 species
UACUCCUACGGGAGGCAGCAGUAGGGAAUAUUGGACAAUGGGGGAAACCCUGAUCCAGCCAUCCCGCGUGUGCGAUGAAGGCCUUCGGGUUGGUAAAGGCUUUUGGGGAGAAAAAAAACGUUUUGCGUAUAAAGUUGUACAGAUUGGGUGACGGAUGAAAUCACGUCCACAACCAGCCACUCUUGCCCCCCAUAUUAUCCAUCUA